CCAAUGAUCAUGUUCCACAUGCCUAGCUGCAAGGUUUGGUCAACUUUAAAAGAUGUCAUCCAUGCAAAGCUUCACAUGACAAGUGUCUGGGUUGUGAUGCAGAGGAGGUAAUUAGAAGCUUCCACAUACUAGCAAUAUGUAACAUAUGCAUUGGGCCCACUGACAUAUAUAUUUCUCUUUUCCCAAAUUUUUUUCAUUUGUAAAUUUUUUUUUUCUCUCUUCUCUCCCUCUCUCUCGUGCUCUCUCUUUUCUCACCAUCUCACACUACUAACUCUCCUCUCUGCCUCAUCUCGUCCUCCACCACUGCAUCCACCACAACCUCCACCGCCACCUACAAAUCAAUCUCCGAAUCAGAACGUCCUCUCCGCUUCCGGUGAUGCCGCUGUCAUCAGAAUCACAUUAUUCUUCCUCUCAGUUUUCUUUCAUAUUCAGAUUUGUCUCUGUUUUACGGCUAGGAAAAUGGUGAAAACUCGCGACCACAACCUUUCUAAUGGGAAGAGGUUAUUAUGUUUUUGAGUUUGAUAAAAUAGUUUCUCCUGCAAGGUUGCACCCAAUCCAUUAUCCAAGGGUUGGAGAAGUGAGAUGGAGAGGAACUGGAUUGGUGGUCCAACAAUGAUACUUAGUUCUAAGGGAAAUCACACUUAUGUGCUUGUGACAAGAAAAGGAUAUUGUUUGAUAUAGGGGGUGUAAUUAUUGAUGGUAAAUCCACUGGAUAUUGUGCUGAUGGCUGUGCGCCCAUUGCUGACUCAAGGACUUAUUUGUUGGCGGGACGAAUGGUAUGAAUAAAUGGCCUGUAGAUAUAGAUCCAAUGGUAUGAAUAAAUGGCUGUAAGUUAUUGAUUUUGUGGUUUUAAUAAUGUCUGCUACAUGUUUGAUGAAAUGUUAUUGAGAAAAAACACUAAAACGUGUUGCUGAAAAUCGCCAUGCUUUUACUCAUCCGGUGUUUAUGGCUGUUGCCACUCAUGAAAAUUGGAAAGGAACUGUUAGAUGGGAUAGUGAUUACUCCUUUCUAUUUCACUUUAAAUUGUUUUCAAUUUUAACAUGUUAUACUAUAUGCAGCACUAUGAUUGGUUCUUUAAUGAUACAAUGUAUCUUAUUUGGGGGCUUUAGAAAUUGAAAAUUUGUAUUCUAUUGUUCAAUUCCAACUCACCAAGUUCGCGAAAUCCAAACCAUUUUCAAUUGUUUGCCAUUGCACAAUUUUCGAUUUUCAGUAACUGUGUUUUGUGUAAUGGUGGAGAACAAAUGUGAACCAAAAGAUUUUUGGCAGGAACCUUUGGUCCCUGCUUCUUCUUGGACACCAUGUUCUGAUCAGCGAAGUUGGGAACCUAAUGAGGGAAGUAAUGGAUACAUUUUGGUUAGUGCAAAUGGUGGGAUCAACCAACAACGGGUAGCUGUAGUACUAAGUUGAAAGUUGAAACUAAUCUUUAAGAAUAUGUCAUGGCAGCCAUGGUAAAGAUGCUGGCCGCUUCACUGCUGCUUGGGAACUUUACAAAGCUCAGGAGGAUGUUGUAGCUGCUUGCAAUGAUUACGGUAUUAAAGUUACACUGUUUCAUGGUCGUGGAGGCAGUAUUGGCCGAGGUGGUGGCCCUACAUAUCUGGCUAUUCAGUCUCAACCACCCGGGUCUGUGAUGGGAACACUUCGGUCUACUGAGCAGGGAGAAAUGGUAGAGGCCAAGUUUGGGUUACCACAAAUAGCUGUUCGACAACUUGAAAUAUACACAACCGCAGUACUACUUGCAACUCUUCGUCCACCACUCCCACCUCGAGAUGAAAAUUGGCGUAAUCUCAUGGAAGAAAUCUCAGAGAUCAGUUGCUAGUGUUACCGCAACGUAGUCUACGAAAAUCCAGAAUUCCUUACCUACUUCGCCGAAGCCACGCCUGAAGCAGAACUCGGCUUCCUCAACAUAGGUAGCCGUCCUGCAAGGAGGAAGAACACGAGAGGAAUUGGACACCUACGUGCUAUUCCCUGGGUGUUUGCAUGGACUCAAACUAGAUUUGUUCUUCCAGCUUGGCUCGGAGUCGGAGCAGGUUUGAAAGGUGCCUGUGAGAAAGGUCACAGAGAAGAACUAAAAGCAAUGUACAAAGAAUGGCCUUUCUUUCAAAGCACAAUAGACCUUAUUGAAAUGGUUUUAGGGAAAGCAGAUACUACUAUAGCAAAGUACUAUGAUGAAGCCCUUGUGUCAGAGGAGAGGCAAGAACUCGGCCGCGAGCUAAGAAACGAGCUCUUGACAGCUGAAAAGUUUGUGCUGGUGAUUAGUGGCCAUGAGAAACUUCAGUAGAAUAAUAGGAGCUUGAGGAGGUUGGUUGAGAACAGACUUCCAUUUCUCAAUCCAAUGAACCUGUUACAAGUGGAGAUUCUCAAGAGGUUAAGGCGCGAUGAUGACAACCUUAAACUCAGAGAUGCUUUGCUUAUCACUGUAAAUGGGAUCGCUGCUGGUAUGAGGAAUACCGGUUAACCUUGCUUCUCAAUAACUAUAACAAUGUACACAACUUUCAGCACUAAUGAAUGAUGAAUAGUUUGUUUUAUGUUAGGUUUGUUUAGUAAAGAUUGGUAUAAGUGUAUAACCAUAAUGGUGAAUGGUUUGUUAUGUAAACAGAAGAUGCAUUAUAAUGUUAGAAUGUGAUGUAUGAUUAAGCUUUUCCUGCA